UUUGCGCCGGAUUGACGAAUCUUUAAAUUCAACAUAAUUCAAGUAUAGUAGUGUUUCAAUUUUUUUGAAGUAUAAUUAUUUUUUUAUUAUUUAUUUUGAUAUAACCCGUAUAAUCAGAAAGUUGAAUUUAAUCAUAUUUUUUGUUUGUUUUGGUAUAAUUCGAUGAUGGUAAAAUUAAUUUUUUUAGUUUCAUUAUUCGUUACCUCAUAAAUAUAGUAGUAAACUUACUCCUAUAAAAGCCAACACAUUAAAUAACUAAAUUCCUCAUUAUUAUUUGGAAGUAAGCUUAAUACAUUGUAAAAAAAAAAAAAAUUGAGUGUGGUGGAAUUUAAGUUUGGUACUUUAAAGAGGGAAGUUAAAAAUAGGUGAAGUGGAUGUUUAAUAUAACUUGAGUUACUUUAUUUUUUUAACUUAUAAUAAAACAAACACCGAAAGUGAUGAAAUUUGAGUAUCAUACCAAACAGCUCUUUAGAGAAAGUUUGGAUUAAUGUAAUUAUAGUUCGCUUGAA
rnacentral:lncRNA from 1 species